rnacentral:lncRNA from 1 species
CCCCACCCUAGCUGGCCAGGCCAGAUCCCAGAAGGCAGCCCUCACCACCCAGAAGACUCACAGCAGGAAUACAGGGGUACAGGGGCGGAAAUAGGCCCUAGUGCUGGGGAACAGGAGUGUUUCAGGGGAGACUCCCCCACCACAAGCCAUUUCCACAGAUGCUCUGAUGGAGCCAUGGGGUUGGGGGCCAGCUCAAAGCCGAGGGCAGCUGAGCCCCCUCCUCAGGGCCAUGAGUGGUAAAACUGAGCCAGAUGGAAACACACAGCCCCUCUGCAUCCUCAGCAGAUCUCAGCAGACCUGGUCGGGUUGCUCCUGAGAUGCUGUGGCCCCUGCAGCUCCUUCAUUCUCUGGCUCCCCAGCCCCAAGUCACCACCAGCUGGGAACAUGGGCCAGAGGCGCCCCAGAAUCCAGUGGGCCGGGCAUUCCAGCCUGGUCCGGGGGCCGCUCUGCCACACAAGUUUAUGCCGCCACCUCUGAACGCUUGGGAGGCAUGUGGGCUGGGCUAGGGCGCAGCCACUCUGGACCCUCCUGCUGAGAGCCCCAGCUGAGACACAGCAGGCUGCACCCGGUCCACACACACAGCACAUAGGGUCAGUGCUCCCUAGUGGGCACGUCUCUGCAGGGACAGGAUGGAGAUGUCCACGCAGCACACAGACCAAGCUGAGGUAAGGUCUCAAAGUACAACCAUGUGACACACAAGCAUCCACCUAGGGGCACAGGCAGAACUCCCCAACACACCUCUUGGCUACCUCGGUAUGUGUGGCCAGGCCCUCCUGCAGGUGCCUGUACUUACCACGUGAGGGCGCCCUGGAGCUGCCACAGGAUCCUGCACCCCCGGACAGGAAUGGGGAGAGACCCCGGGCAGAAUCAGGCCCCAGAAGGACCUGGAGCAUUGCACAGACACGAAU